CACAACAGGAACCAACUACUUGCAGUCGCAGUUCUUUGCAGCAGCCUCAGUAAUGAGGUGUAGAACAUAGUCCAUUUGGACUCAAUGUCUCCAGUAUAUAAUAAUAAAUAUGAUAAAAAUCAAAUUAGGGUUGAGGAAAUUAUUUUUGUUCUUCUUGGGAAAGAAGGAAAGAAAUACAACAGAUGAAUAUAAAGAUAGAAUAUAAAGUACAUGAAUUUUUUUCCACUGUUUGUUCCUGGUUUUGAAAUUGUUUAAAUAUAAGAAUGUACACACUGGUUUUAAAACCGUUCAACACCUCCACACUGGAAGGCUGACCAUACCAGUGGGUACUGAAAAUAAAUAACACAAAAGUCUACUAAAAGCUUCAAGAUUGUUUUCGGUCUUUUCUUUUAUUGACUGCACAUACAUUUGGCUGUUUUAUUUUUUACAGAUCCUAAACAUCACAAUGAAGCUGCUGACUGUGUUUUCAAUUCUUUGUGCAAUCGUGAAUAUGACCAUGGCUGCUGCUCUUCCAGGUAAAGAGGUGAGCAACAGGACAGAGGGAUUCAUUCCAUCAGGAAACAAGUGUAUGAAUGAUCAGAACUGUCGUGACCACCUGCCAUCUGUCUGUGUCAAGAAAAUCUGAUGAUUCCUAGGCUUACAUGAAGGCAAUAAAAGGAAAUAAUCUGAUACCAGAUGAACCCUCUGCAUCUCUUUUUAUAUAUUUACUGUUUUUUGUUUUGUUUUGCAGUAACGCUAGAUAUUAAAUUAAAUAAGAAGUAACAAACUGGAAUUUGAUUGUAUCUUUGAAUACGAGAAAAGUGAAAGUGUAGUGAAAAAAAUGCUAUUAAAAAUGCUAUUAGCAAUUUUUUCCCCCCAGAGUAAACUUUUCUUUCUUAGACAUUACAUUUUAAGCAUUGAAUCAAACUGAUCUGUGAGUCUACCAGUGAACAUGUACUUCAGUGUUAAGACAGACCUAAAAAAAAUGGAGUUAACUGUAAAUCCUUCUGAAACCCUAAACAUUCUGAAAACUAUAGCUUGUGUUUUAACUUCAUGUGCACCUCCUUAGAAAUGCAACAGCAUGCUGCAUUCAUUACUGUCUACUCCCCCUAUGCAUUUCCAGAUUCUUUUGCCACCAUUUUUUCAAAUGACUGAACUAAAUUAGAUGAAUACAAACAGAGAAACGUAUCAUAAACUAGAUUUUUACUUUCU